GGGGUCGUGGGGCAUCCUGGGUCCUGUGACAAUGACCCAUCAUGCAUCGCUUUGCAUCCCAGCAGCCCCUUUACAAUUUCCCAAGGUGCCUGGUCCCAGAUCAAUUUGGUGGAGUCUGGAGGGGAUGUGAAAAAGCUGGGGGAGUCUCUCCGCCUCUCCUGCAAAACCUCCGGUUUCAGUUUCAGCAACUACGGCAUGAUCUGGGUCUGUCAGCCUCCUGGGAAGGGACUAGAAUGGGUGGCUUAUCUAAACAGCGCUGGGGGCGAUAUACACUCUCUUGAUUCAGUGAAAGGCCGGUCCUGAGUGGGAAGAAGCCCAGUGUGAUGCUGGCAGACCAGGUGCCAGCUAGGCCUUACAAGUGCAUAGCUGGAAACCAGUCUUCUUUACCUGUGUUAGCAUCAUCAAAAUAGAUGUUAGAUUCUAAGUUCAUAAGAAUAUGUUUAGUAUUUAGACUUCAUAAAAUGCUUGUAGGAUGUUGCCUGCACUGUUUUCACUUAUCUGUACCCUGGUAUAACUGAACAACAAACAUUUACAUUGUAUACCCCUGUAUCUCAGGCCCCGUCUACGCUGGCAGGUUUGUGAGCAGUAAAGCGGCUCUGAGUGCUGUAACUCCCGAGGUGUACACGCUGCCAAGCCACUUAGUGUGCAGAAACUCUGCCGAUGCAGGGCUCUAAAAAGCCAUCCCGACGAGAGGCGUACAGCUUUCUGCGCCGGGCUACAGCGUGGGGAUUACAGUGCUGUGACUGGCCUCCGGGAGGUGUCCCACAAUGCCUGUUCUCGCCUCUCUGGCCAUCGGUUUGAGCUCUACUGCCCUGCCCUCAGGUGACCAACCGUCAGCCCCACCCCAUACAUUCCUUUGCAAAUUUGAAAGUCCCCUUCCUGUUUGCUUGGUGAUGCAUGCAGGGGUCUCAGCGCAUCUUUCCAGGUGGCCACGCCUGCUCCACGCACCAGGUGAUCCCCCACUUGGGGCAAUGCUGAGCUGCUGGACCUCAUCUGCAUUUGGGGAGAGGAGACUGUGCAGUCCCAGCUGCGCUCCAGCUGUAGGAAUUAUGCUACCUACGGACAGAUUUCACGACGCAUGACAGAAAGGGACCAUGACCGGGACACACGGCAGUGCAGGGUCAAAGUGAAGGGGCUGCAGAACGCCUACCACGAGGCGCGGGAGGCAAACCGCCACUCCGGUGCUGCGCCCACGAGCUGCCAGUUCUACAAAGAGCUGGACGUGAUACUCGGCGGCGACCCCACCUCCACUGCGAAGGCCACUGUGGAUACUUCAUUGGCUCACGUGCCAGUCGAGAGUGGACUGAGCCAGGAGUUGGAAAUCUUGGAUGAAGAGAGGGAAGAAGACAGAGGCAGAGGAUAGCUCAGAGACCAGAGAUGCAUGGAGCCAGGACCUCUUCUCUACCCCAGAGGAGCCUAGCCAGCCACAGCAGGCGGAUAUUGGCAAAGCGCAGACAGGAGAGGAGGACCCUGAGGUGACCAUGGGAGGCCAGCCUCCCUCUGUGUUAUCGGCGGCAGAAUGGUUGCGAAGAAUUAGGAAGCAUCCAAGAAGAACUAAGGAGGACUUUAUGCAUGAGGUUAUGAUUCACUCCACUGCUGAGAAAAAGGAAUUGAAGGAGUGGUGGGACAGCAAGAAGAGGUACCGAAAGGAGAACGUAGCACACCAGAAAGUUGUCACGGAGCGGCUCUUAACAGUUAUGGAGCUCCAAGUGGACACGCUCCAGGAGAUACUAGCUCCGCAUCCGCCCUUCCCUGCAGCCACUGUCGCAAAACUCUUUCCCAUGCACACCCCCGACACACACACACACCCCGCCAACACACUGUUAUCAACCUCCUGGCUCCACUCUCUACCCGCAGCUUUCCACUCCUCCCUCCUCACGGUCCAGCACUGUGGACUCCCCAUACCCACUGCACUCAACAGCCAUCCCUCUGCAGUUUGGCCCUGCUGAAGUACAGCUGCAUCGUACUCCAAAGGAGAUGGUUGGGUAUGAUCCCUGGACAUACACAAAUCUCUAGCUGUCCCGGGACCCCUCCUGCUCUUGAGACCUUCCCUUCCCUGCUGAUGAUUUUUUUUAUUUGACUCUUUCCUCUGGUUGUUGUCUUUCAAUAAAAGAAUUGUGUUUGU